UUAGCACUUUCACAGGCCCCAUAGGCAGUGGCACCAGGAUUUGGUAGCUAGUGGGGAGGAAACCUUAACUGCCUCCUUGCCCUGGUGCUAUACUAGUGGUAGGUGUUACUCAGUAGAGUAGAC
rnacentral:snoRNA from 1 species